CAGAUAAACUACUAUGCUAAUUUUAGAAGUUAUACCAAGUAAGCAAUGCCGAUUAUUGAUCUUAGUUUAUAUUAAUAAUGGCCAAUAAGGCAUAUAGUAGGCUAUAGGUGCUAAAAUAUGAAAACUAUGAGAGAGUAUUUGUUUGUGGGAAUUUUCUGUGUAUUCUUCUCCUUGUAGGAGGUCAUAUUUAUAAUACAACGAAACCUGAAUGGGCAAGUAAAUAAUAAAUUCCUAAAUCUAUUUACAGUAGGAAAUCAGGAAUUAAAGUAAAUCAAUUACAAUUAUAAUAGGAAUUCUUGGUGUGUAAGGAAAGUAAGUCAAUAUCCACAAGUCACGCCAACACUCCCCCUCACGUUGGUGCAUAGAUGUCGCCAAUGCCCAACUGAUCCAGUGAAUUGUGGAAUGCUUUACUGGAAAUCGCCUUUGUCAAAAUAUCCGCCAAUUGAUCCUCAGAUUUCACAAAAGGAAACUGAAACACUUUAGCCUCAAGCUUCUGUUUGAUGAAGUGUCGAUCUACCUCAACAUGUUUAGUACGAUCAUGCUGAACCGGAUUCUGUGCAAUGGCUAUAGCAGCCUUGUUGUCACAAAAGAGAUUCAUUGUGGAUGUAGGUUUAUACCCGAGUUCAAUAAGCAACUUUCUUAACCAAAGAAGUUCACAAAUCCCUUUAGUCAUGCCUCUGAACUCGGCUUCUGCACUGGAUAAAGCUACUACAUUUUGUUUCUUGCUCCUCCAUGUCACCAAAUUACCUCCCACGAAUGUGAAGUAACCCGAUGUGGAUUUUCUAUCUGUUACAUUACCUGCCCAAUCUGCAUCUGAAUAACCAUCAAUAUUUAGAUGACCAUGCUUUGAGAACAUAAGUCCUUUUCCAGGUGCAGACUUCAAAUAUCUAAGUAUCCGAAGAACUGCAUUCAUGUGGUCUUCACUUGGAGAGUGCAUAAAUUGACUGACAACGCUCACCGCAUAAGCAAUGUCUGGUCGAGUAUGUGACAAAUAGAUCAAUCUUCCCACUAGCCUUUGGUAUCUUUCUUUGUUAGUUGGAACUUGAUCCGGAUAUUCUCCAAGAUGAUGAUUCUGAACAAUAGGAGUGUCCGCAGGUUUACAAUCUAGCAUUCCUGUGUCUGUCAACAAGUCUAAGACAUAUUUCCUUUGAGAGAGAAAUAUGCCUUGCUGCGAUCGAGCCACCUCAAUUCCCAAGAAAUACUUGAGUCCACCUAGAUCCUUCAUCUCAAACUCCGUAGCCAGAUAGUCUUGUAGCUGUGAUAUUUCCUGUUUAUCAUUCCCAGUAAUAAUCAUAUCAUCAACAUAGAUUAUUAAUGUUGUUACCUUCCCUUUUUGAUGUUUCAAGAACAGAGUAUGAUCUGAGUUGCACUGUUUGAAACCAUUGUUCUUCAUUGCCAUGGUGAACCGUCCAAACCAUGCACGUGGUGACUGUUUCAAUCCAUAUAAUGCUUUUCGUAACCUGCAAACUGUUCCAGUCUGAGUAGUAUUAUAUCCAGGAGGAAUAUCCAUGUACACCUCCUCUGUGAGUUCACCAUGUAGAAAAGCAUUCUUUACAUCAAACUGGUGUAGUGGCCAAUCCAAAUUAGCUGCAAGGGACAAUAAGACUCUGACGGUGUUUAACUUUGCAACUGGUGCAAAAGUUUCUUCAUAGUCUAUACCAUAGGUCUGUGUGUACCCUUUUGCCACAAGUCUUGCCUUGUAUCGCUCGAUAGAUCCAUCUGCAUUGUGUUUUAUAGUAAACACCCAUCUACAUCCGAUAGUCUUUUUUCCUCGUGGUAUAGUCUCUAAUGUCCAAGUCUGAUUUUUCUCAAGAGCUUUCAUCUCCUCUUUUAUAGCUUGGACCCACUUAGGAUCUUUCAAUGCUUCAGAGACCUUGGUUGGAAUAUGGAUAGCAGACAACUGAUGCACAAAAGCCUUGAGUGGUUCAGACAGCUUCUCAGUGGAUACAUGAUUUGCAAUUGGAUACUUGGAUGUCUUGCCAAUAUCCGGUGAAUAACGGUUUGGUGGCUUCCCACGAUUUUGCCUGAAAGGUAAUUGAUAUCCAAUAGUUUUAUCAUCUAAAUGCACAAGUCUAGUAGGAGUAGUUACCUCAAGGAUAUUCUCAGGAGAUUGGUCUGUUGGUACUGUUGAGUUAGAAGGGGGGUUUUCAUCUUGUUGUUCUGUAUUGUCUGUAGGUGUGGGACUCGGAUCAGAAAUAUCUUCGCAUGGAUCAGGUGGGUCAGGCAAUUGAUCACUAUGAAUGGGCGAUUGGUCACUUUUCAACAGAGAGUAAUCUCGUGCUCCAGACUCGGGAUGAUCAAUCAUUUCUGUACAUGGGAGAAUUUCUUUGUUUGCCAAGUUGUUCCAAUUCUGUUCUUCACUUCGUAUCUCCCCCUGAAGCGCAGAAUUGGAUGAUGGGUCAUGAAAGAACAGCUCAGAUUCCAGAAAAGCCACAUCCAAAGUGACAUAGGUUCGUUGGGUAGGAGGGUGAUAACAGCGGUAACCUUUCUGAUGAGUGGCAUAACCCACAAAAACACAACGAAGCGCACAGGGAUCAAGUUUGCUACGUUGAUUUUUGUGGAGAUGAACGAAAGCCACGCAUCCAAAGAUUCGGGGUGUGAGUACCAAAACAGAGGGUAGAUGUCUGUGUUGCGCAAGCACCUGUAAAGGAGUUUUAAAAGUCAAUACACCAGAAGGCAUGCGGUUGAUCAGGUGAACUGCAGUGACAAUAGCAUCAUCCCAGUGAUGGCGAGGAACAUGAGCGCCAAUCAGAAGUGCUCGGGCGGUUUCAAGAAGAUGUCGAUUCUUUCGUUCAGCAACACCAUUUUGUUGCGGUGUCUGAGGACAAGUCGUCUCAUGGAUAAUUCCAUGUUGUUGGAAGUAAGUCUGAAAGUCAUGAUUGACAAAUUCUCCACCAUUGUCGGAGCGAAGAAUCUGGAUUUGAGCAUUAAAUUGAGUUUUCAUCUGUUUGUGGAAGGACUGAAAACGGGAAAACACAUCGUUUUUAUUCUUCAGCAAAUAAAGCCAUGUCAUCCGUGUACAAUCAUCGAUGAAUGUGACAAACCAUCGAACACCAGAAGGAGCAGUGAUAGGCGAAGGUCCCCAGACAUCAGAGUGAAUUAAUGUAAAUGGAGUAGUACACUUGUUCGUACUCAACGGGUAGGGCACACGGUGACUCUUGGCCAAAAUACAAGUAUCACAUGUGAAGUCAGAGUCUUUGAAACCUGAGAAUAAAUCUGGUAUAAGAUGCUUCAUAUAACUAAAAGACGGAUGUCCCAAUCGACGAUGCCACAACCAAAUUUGCUUUUGUUUGCUAUCAAAGGAAUGUGUCACACUGUUAGCCAGCCGGGACUGAAGUCAUCGACAUAAUAUAGCCCCCCUCUCUUAGUACCACGACCAAGAAUCUCCUUAGUGUGAAUAUCCUGAAGCAAACAAAAACUCGGGUAAAUGAGUACACAACAAUUCAAUUGUUCAGUAAGCUGACUAACUGACAACAAUUUAGUGGAUAAAGAUGGAACAAGUAAAGGAUUAGACAGUGUGAGAGAGGAUGAGAGUGCAACAGUGACAGCCCCUGUCACAGGAUAAGUAACACCAUUGGCAUUUGCAAUACAGGUUCGUCGAGGUUGUGUAGUAUUCAGAAAAUCAUCAGGAUCAAACGUCAUAUGAUCAGUUGCACCAGAAUCAAUUAUCCAGCUCUUGGAAUCAAUCUUAUCGGAAGUAUGGAAUCCAUAACCAGUACCAUUACUGGUCAUAUUGCAUUGUCCUCGAUCUGUAAGAGUAGCCCACCAAUCGGGGUAGCCAUGCGAUGUAAAACAAGUCUCACAAGUAUGUCUCGGAUCACCACAAUAUGCGCAAUUUGGUCCAUGUGUCGGGGUCGUUAGUCUAGAAGUCAUAAGCUGUGCAGCGGAAGAAGCAUAGGAUACAGGUUGAGUAGGAAUUUGGAUCGGAAUCUGAGCAUGAGUCGGGGCCGGAGUCGGAGUCGAAAUCGGAAUCGGGGUCUGAAUCAUAGACAAAUUCGAGGUUGGGGUCAUCAUCGAAGUGCGGGUCGGGGUCGUCUUCGGAGUCGGGGUCGGGGUCGUCUGGGCACUCAACUCAACGAUGGUGGGUUGAGAAUGAGAGAAGGAGUCGGUGGUGCUACCUCCAUGAGGGUUGAAAAAAUCAUCAACCCUCAUAGCGGCGGCGGAGUUUUGAAACUAGAGUCAGCAAUUCCAAGAUCGCCGCUCUGAUACCAUGCUAAAAUAUGAAAACUAUGAGAGAGUAUUUGUUUGUGGGAAUUUUCUGUGUAUUCUUCUCCUUGUAGGAGGUCAUAUUUAUAAUACAACGAAACCUGAAUGGGCAAGUAAAUAAUAAAUUCCUAAAUCUAUUUACAGUAGGAAAUCAGGAAUUAAAGUAAAUCAAUUACAAUUAUAAUAGGAAUUCUUGGUGUGUAAGGAAAGUAAGUCAAUAUCCACAAGUCACGCCAACAAUAGG
rnacentral:lncRNA from 1 species